rnacentral:lncRNA from 1 species
UUUGUUCAUAAAUAUGUAUAUACAUAUACUGCUUCCAAGCACAGAUAUAUAUAUACAUAUAUAAAUAUUUUGAUAGGAGCUGCCAGGGUUGGGGCGCCCUGGAGUCGGCCCCCUUAAUAAUAUGGUGUCCUCACGCAGGAGGGUUCUCAUUCAACAUCCAUCAGUCAAACAAACAAAAAAUAAAUAGGAAGGGCAAUGGGAAAAUUAAAUAUUUGCCAAUAGAGAACAGGAAAAGAACACAAAACAUACUUCUUUCACACCCUAACAAAUUCCAUAUACAACAUAAUAUUACAAACAAGGAUAAGCUGGGUAAAUAAACAACGAGCUAGUAUACACAAGUAACAUAACACACAUGAAAUACAUCUACAUUUAUACUCAUACACACAUACAUAUAUACAUUGAAACAGACACAGACAGACAGACACACAGUACAUACAUACAGUACAUACAUACAUACAUUGAAUUAGACAGACAGAUGCAUCAUUAUGCACGCAUACAUUUGAGCAGUUAAGAAACAAUAAUAAAUACACUGCAAACAAGUGCAUUACACCAUAAAUAUAAGUUAAAUAUCAUUACAGUGAAUUGAUUUAAGUGAUGACCAAAGCUGUUAAUAGAACGUAAAACACAAACAAACCAAACCAAACUUUUUUCUCUCUGUGAAACUGACCUCCCUCUAUCCUCAACGGAAAAAGAAAAACAAGUGUUAUAAAAACUAUUGAUACUCAUGUCUAGUAUACUGGACAAAAAGGAUAUUCCCUUCCCUGUUAUAUAGUGUUUUGGACAGGGUUUUGGGUACUUACAAUGUAGAACUCUGUUGUCUGUACUGGACAAGGGUUUGGGAGCUCCCUUCUCCGUUGUCUAGUAUGUUUACAAGGUUAAUCUAUAUGUACCUGUCAAGAAUCCUUUCCCUGUUGUCCAACGCUAGCUCACUAAGCAAAGUUUUUUGUACUCCCUUCUCUGUUGUUUAGUGUGCUGGGCAGGUUUUGGUAACUCCCUUCCCUGUUGUCUAGCAUACUGGACAAGGUUUGUGAUAAUCCCUUCCCUGUGGUGUAGCACACUGGACAAGGUUUUGGAUAGUCCCUUCCCUGUGGUCUAGCACACUGGACAAGGUUUUUAAUAAUCCCUCCCCUGUUUUCUAGUAUGUAUAGGCUGUACUGGACAAGGUUUUUGGUAAUCCCUUCCCUGUGGUCUGGUAUGUAUAGUCUGUACUGGACAAGGUUUUUGGUUAUCCCUUCCCUGUGGUCUGGGAUGUAUUGGCUGUACUGGGCAAGGUUUUUGGUAAUCCCUUCCCUGUGGUCUAGCACACUGGACAAGGUUUUUGGUACUCCUUUCCCUUUUGUGUAGUACAUGUACUAGAGCACUAGACCGUGGCAAGUGUAUGUGUUUUUUAAAUGAUUACACAUGCUAUAUUGGGAACUUCACAUCAGAGUCAGUAAAGAUACUCCGAUAUAUAUCAUACACAACUUACAAGACAUGUCCCAGAAGUAAACUAUUUAAUGGGAUUUACGUGAUUUAAGUGACUAUAUUGUAUGUCCAGUUUAUUCAAGCUAACAGCUUGACCUAGUUUGAUUUUCAUUUUAAACAGGUAUCAGUGUGAUACAGGUUCAAACUACGUGUUCAUAUUUAUAGUAUGAUGUCCAGUUUAUACAGGUAUCCAGAUUACACAGGUUCAACUUAUAUUUAGUUAGGUACAAUUGGACUUAGUAAGGUGUCUGGUUUAUACAGGUAUCCUAGUGGAUUAUCUGGUGUAUACAUGUAUCCUAGUGGAUUGUCUGGUGUAUACAGGUAUCCUAGUGGAUUGUCUGGUGUAUACAUGUAUCCUAGUGGUUUGUCUGGUGUAUACAGGUAUCCUAGUGGACUGUCUGGUGUGUACAGGUAUCCUAGUGGAUUGUCUGGUGUAUACAGGUAUCAUAGUGGAUUGUCUUGUGUAUACAGGUAUCCUAGUGGAUUGUCUGGUGUUUACAUGUAUCCUAGUGGUUUGUCUGGUGUAUACAGGUAUACUAGUGGAUUGUCUGGUGUGUACAGGUAUCCUAGUGGAUUGUCUGGUGCAUACAUGUAUCCUAGUGGUUUGUCUGGUGUAUACAGGUAUACUAGUGGAUUGUCUGGUGUGUACAGGUAUCCUAGUGGAUUGUCUGGUGUAUACAGGUAUCAUAGUGGAUUGUCUUGUGUAUACAGGUAUCCUAGUGGAUUGUCUGGUGUGUACAGGUAUCCUAGUGGAUUAUCUGGUGUAUACAGGUCUCUGGUUUAUAUAAGACAGACAGGUUACACUGUGUUUUUAUUGUUACACUUAUUAUUAUAAUGAUGUCACACCCGUGGAGACGAUUUCAGAAAUGAAAAAUAGCAACAGAUAUAUGAAUUCACUUACAUUUUGUAUCUGUGCUAAAUAUUGAUACAUCAUUAAAAUUGGUUGUUGAUAGUA